rnacentral:rRNA from 1 species
GCCUAACACAUGCAAGUCGAGCGGUAACAUUUCUAGCUUGCUAGAAGAUGACGAGCGGCGGACGGGUGAGUAAUGCUUGGGAACAUGCCUUGAGGUGGGGGACAACAGUUGGAAACGACUGCUAAUACCGCAUAAUGUCUACGGACCAAAGGGGGCUUCGGCUCUCGCCUUUAGAUUGGCCCAAGUGGGAUUAGCUAGUUGGUGAGGUAAUGGCUCACCAAGGCGACGAUCCCUAGCUGGUUUGAGAGGAUGAUCAGCCACACUGGGACUGAGACACGGCCCAGACUCCUACGGGAGGCAGCAGUGGGGAAUAUUGCACAAUGGGCGCAAGCCUGAUGCAGCCAUGCCGCGUGUGUGAAGAAGGCCUUCGGGUUGUAAAGCACUUUCAGUCAGGAGGAAAGGUUAGUAGUUAAUACCUGCUAGCUGUGACGUUACUGACAGAAGAAGCACCGGCUAACUCCGUGCCAGCAGCCGCGGUAAUACGGAGGGUGCGAGCGUUAAUCGGAAUUACUGGGCGUAAAGCGUACGCAGGCGGUUUGUUAAGCGAGAUGUGAAAGCCCCGGGCUCAACCUGGGAACUGCAUUUCGAACUGGCAAACUAGAGUGUGAUAGAGGGUGGUAGAAUUUCAGGUGUAGCGGUGAAAUGCGUAGAGAUCUGAAGGAAUACCGAUGGCGAAGGCAGCCACCUGGGUCAACACUGACGCUCAUGUACGAAAGCGUGGGGAGCAACAGGAUUAGAUACCCUGGUAGUCCACGCCGUAAACGAUGUCUACU